rnacentral:rRNA from 1 species
GACGAACGCUGGCGGCGUGCUUAACACAUGCCAGUCGAACGCGCCUGUCCUCUGGGUUUCUGGGGGGUGGGUGAGUGGCGAACGGGUGAGUAACACGUGAGUAACCUGCCCCCUUCUUCGGGAUAACGGUCUGAAAGGGCUGCUAAUACCGGGUAUUCACUGGUCUCCGCAUGGGGUCUGGUGGAAAGGGUUUUUUCUGGUGGGGGAUGGGCUCGCGGCCUAUCAGCUUGUUGGUGGGGUGAUGGCCCACCAAGGCUUUGACGGGUAGCCGGCCUGAGAGGGUGACCGGUCACAUUGGGACUGAGAUACGGCCCAGACUCCUACGGGAGGCAGCAGUGGGGAAUAUUGCACAAUGGGCGCAAGCCUGAUGCAGCGACGCCGCGUGAGGGAUGGAGGCCGUCGGGUUGUGAACCUCUUUCGCCCGUGGUCAAGCCGCGGCGGGGGUCGUGGUGAGGGUAGUGGGUAAAGAAGCGCCGGCUAACUACGUG